UACGUAGGGUGCAAGCGUUGUCCGGAAUUAUUGGGCGUAAAGAGCUCGUAGGCGGUUUGUUGCGUCGGCUGUGAAAACCUGAGGCUCAACCUCAGGCCUGCAGUCGAUACGAGCAGACUAGAGUGUUGCAGGGGAGACUGGAAUUCCUGGUGUAGCGGUGAAAUGCGCAGAUAUCAGGAAGAACACCAAUGGCGAAAGCAGCUCUCUGGGACGGUACUGACGCUGAGACGCGAAAGCGUGGGGAGCGAACAGG
rnacentral:rRNA from 1 species